rnacentral:rRNA from 1 species
CCUACGGGCGACAGCAGUGGGGAAUAUUGGGCAAUGGGCGCAAGCCUGACCCAGCAACGCCGCGUGAAGGAAGAAGGCUUUCGGGUUGUAAACUUCUUUUCUCAGGGACGAAGCAAGUGACGGUACCGGAGGAAUAAGCCACGGCUAACUACGGGCCAGCAGCCGCGGUAAUACGUAGGUGGCAAGCGUUAUCCGGAUUUACUGGGUGUAAAGGGCGUGUAGGCGGGAAAGCAAGUCAGAUGUGAAAACCAUGGGCUCAACCUGUGGCCUGCAUUUGAAACGGUUUUUCUUGAGUACUGGAGAGGCAGCCGGAAUUCCUAGUGUAGCGGUGAACUGCGUAGAUAUUAGGAGGAACACCAGUGGCGACGGCGGUCUGCUGGACAGCAACUGACGCUGAGGCGCGAAAGCGUGGGGAGCACACAGGAUUAGAUACCCGGGUAGUC